rnacentral:rRNA from 1 species
UGAGGAAUCGUACGCAAUGGGCGCAAGCCUGACGUCGCGACACCGCGUGAAGGAAGAAGCUUUUCGGAGUGUAAACUUCUUUUCUGAAGGACGAUUAUGACGGUACUUCAGGAAUAAGCCACGGCUAACUUCGUGCCAGCAGCCGCGGUAAUACGAGGGUGGCAAGCGUUAUCCGGAUUUAUUGGGCGUGAAGAGCGCGUAGGUUGUUUAUUAAGUCUCGACACAAAUCCCACCGCCCAACGGUGGACCCUGUCGAGAUACUAUUAGACUAGUGGGUAGCAGGGGUAAGCGGAAUUCCCGGUGUAGGAGUAAAAUCCAUUGAUAUCGGGAGGAACACCUAUGGCGAAGGCAGCUUACUAGGCUAUCUCAGACACUGAGGCGCGAAAGCGUGGGGAGCGAA